rnacentral:lncRNA from 10 species
AUAUACUCUCUUACCUAAUACGCAAACAACAAUCUGAUAAAAUAUUUUUAUUUUUCUCACAUUUGCUAGAGGAAUAAACACGGACUUACAGAAGUUACAUAGUGUACAAAGGUAAGUUAGGGCUUGAUUGAAGAAACUAGAAUCAGCUCUAAUGAAAUUAAUUUAAAAGUCAUUGCUGUGGCAUUGUAAAUGGCUUACAGAAUUGUUAGCAGAGAAGCAGACAAUCGGUGAAGUUUAAGGAUGAAUUCCAUAUGAAAUGUCCCAAAACUGGGUUACAGUGUUUUCCCAUGUUUCUUCCCUGACAUGGAACUCAUUCAAUUAGGAAAUAAUUUUAGAGUUGAUGGGUUUAAAACCUCACCACUUCUGCAUGUAAAACAGAAGCUCAUGCCUUGUUUCUCCUUACUUCAGAUUCCUUUUGUUUAAGAGCACUUAAAGGUGAAACUUACAUUCCAUUCAGAAUAAUACAUGCAAGAGAGUCUGUGGCAUGUAAGUUUAGCAGCACACUAGAAGGAAGUUGAAACCAAUGUUAGUAAACAAUCAUUCAGUAUUCUCAACACUUAUGAGUGACAAAACUAGGUUAAACUGCUUUUCUUUUCUAAGACCAUUUCUGGAUACAUUUUAUCUUUCUUUUUUAUUCUCAUGUUCUCUUGUGUGCAUAUUUGAGCAUGUAUGUCCCUCUGCUCUUCUUGAAAGACAAAUUUGUUCCUUUCUUCCAAUGCUUAUCAUUAUCAUCAUCAUCCAAUAUUAAUAUGACAAGGAAAAAGAAGAGAUACCACAGCAGGCAUCUCUUCAACUGAAAAUGGAACACCAACCAGCCACCGAGAAACAUGGGAUCACAAUAAAUGAUGAGCUUGAAGAUGAGUACAAAUAACCAAGAUAAGACAUUUUUAUUCCUGAACUCCCUGGAUAAUGACAGGAAAAAAUAGGCCUGCAGAAGAGUUUGUUCACAGCAUGUUCAAGCCACCAGAUCUUACCUGAAAAACUCCAGUGUCCUUACUAGCUAACUCUAAAGGAAAUGAUGCAGCUGUGUGGCUCUGUGCAAAGUGCCCAUCUAGCUCAUAUUGGACUUCAAAUUAAGGUCUCCAAUCAAAAGAAUCAACCUGUAACUAUUUGCCCUCCUGUUAGCCAAAUUUCUUUGCCAUUGCUGAAGUUCACUUCUUUCAUCUGGACACAACUGAUUUUAUAUAUUGUUUUCUUCUCUUUGCAUAUAAAAAUACUUCAAUCAAAGUGUGCAGUGUAUAGGCAACACAAACAGGAGAAUAGAUAAUAAAACAUUUAAAGUCUUGCCAUGUGGUUGUAGGAAAACUUCUUCAAACUUUUUCUGUUUAAGAAAAACAUUUUCUGUUUAAGAAAAUGUGCCCAUGAAAAUCUGACGGAAAGUCAUAACAAAUAACAAGGUAACCUACAAGCCAGUGAAUGUUUUGCUAUUAUAUUGACAUGAAGAUAUUUGUGUUAAGAUUUGCCUUUCACCUAUUUGCCAGAUGGAAUGCCUUCAUUGUUCCAAAAUGCCAUUAGCAUCCAUAA